UGGUCAAGCCUAAUCACAUCCCACGUUUGGUACUCGGGAAAAAGGAGCUAUUAGUAUCGACAACGAGGCAAACCUUAAUACGGAAAUAAAAGAGUGUACAUGGAAUCCGCUAUCGAUUUCUAACCAUCAACUUGACACCCUGAAUCUAUCCCAUUGAAUCAGGUACUUCCUGUUUUCUUGAAGGCUCUUCCACUAAAAGAAGAUCGUGAAGAGUCCAUGGCAGUGUAUAGUUGCGUCUGUACUCUUGUUUUGUCAUCAAAUGCUCAGAUCCUUUCUCUAGUCCCUGAAUUGAUUAAUGUAUUUGCUCAAGUUGUGGCAUCUCCGGUUGAAACUCCUGAAGUAAAAGCACAAAUCGGAAGAGCUUUUUCUCACCUGAUUUCCCUCUAUGGCCAUCAAAUGCAGCCCCUUUUGAGUAACCUCUCCC